AGGCGGAGGAAAAACGACCGUUACGGACAGUCUUAGUGAGGUUUUGUUUGAAUUAAUUGAAGUUUCUAACAGUUCUCCAGUCCCAUGUGGAAUUUGCACAACAUGUGAAGAAACACAGAAAAGGAACCAAUCUAGUCGCUAAACUUUGCUCUGUGCUACCCGCAGGCUGGGCGCCUAUACAGACGUCAAUUGGCUCGUCCGUCAGGUUGGAUGCCGGAGGAGAUUCCUCAUGACUGCUGCAAUCACGACCUCUGCUGGCUGAUCGAUGGCACUGCACAGAGACGGGGGGCAAUAGGGAUCAGUGUGUGACUCUCUAUACGCGAGACUGAGCCUUAUAUGAACUCGUACAGUGCAGAACAGACGCCCCCUGCUGGUCGUGUUGCCAAAUCCAGUCUUUGCUUUUACGCUGCACAUCAAACAACUUUGAUCGCUUGCUUACUGUUGACGUGCAUUUUUUCGUCACUUCUUGCAUGUGGGGAAGGAAGGAAGGAAGGAAGGAAGAAAGGAAGGAAAAGGGGAAGGAAGGAAGAAAGGAAGGAAAAGGGGAAGGAAGGAAGGAAGGAAGGAAGGAAGAAAGGAAGGAAGGAAGGAAGAAAGGAAGGAAGGAAGGAAGGAAGGAAGGAAGGAAGAAAAAGGGGAAGGAAGGAAGAAAGGAAGGAAGAAAGGAAGGAAGGAAGAAAGGAAGGAAGGAAGGAAGGAAGGAAGGAAGGAAGGAAGAAAAAGGGGAAGGAAGAAGGAGGGAGGAGGAGGAAGGAAAAAGGAAGGAAGAAGGACUAAAAGAUGGAAGGAAGGAAGGGAACAAAGCAUUAAUGUGAGAAAGCUGGUGAGGAUCUGCCAUGAAGAAUGGGAAAAACUGCUCAAAUACAUCAUGUGUGUUGAGAUAUUUCCAAAGAGACUUACAGCUGGAACUGCUGCUGAAGUGGCUUGUAUAAAGUAUUGAUUACGAUCUAAAGCGACAUAGCGUAGCUGAACGGUCAGUGUGUUUUUAU